UACGAAGGGUGCAAGCGUUAAUCGGAAUUAUUGGGCGUAAAGAGCUCGUAGGCGGCUUGUCGCGUCGGAUGUGAAAGCCCGGGGCUUAACUCCGGGUCUGCAUUCGAUACGGGCAGGCUAGAGUUCGGUAGGGGAGAUCGGAAUUCCUGGUGUAGCGGUGAAAUGCGCAGAUAUCAGGAGGAACACCGGUGGCGAAGGCGGAUCUCUGGGCCGAUACUGACGCUGAGGAGCGAAAGCGUGGGGAGCAAACAGG
rnacentral:rRNA from 1 species